UUUCUCUCUGAUUCAGUUUGUCAAUCGAUAGAGGAUCUUCAAGCUUACUGCUUUUGAUAGAAACCAUAAAGCAGCAUCGGACUAGUUGUUGAUCCCCACGUAUUUUUUCGACUUCACUUUUUGUCGAAAAUCAGACCAGUAGAUGAUAUGUUAACAUCACCGCUCUCAUGCAUUAAGUCUCGAUCAUCCGAGUAUGACAUUAUAAGCCGAAGAAACUUAGACAACUAUGAAUGUCAAG
rnacentral:lncRNA from 1 species